CCCCAGCGCCACAAGUCGGAAUCACAUUUAUUGGGCCUAAAGCGUUCGUAGCCUGCCAGGCAAAUCUCUUGUGAAAUCGUUAAGCUCAACUUAACGACGUGCAGGAGACACUCCCUGGCUAGGGACUGGGAGGGGCUAGAGGUAUUCGUAGGGGAGCAGUAAAAUGCUAUAAUCCUAUGCAGACUACCUGUGGCGAAGGCGUCUAGCCAGAACAGAUCCGACGGUGAGGAACGAAAGCUAGGGGAGCAAUCCGG
rnacentral:rRNA from 1 species